rnacentral:rRNA from 1 species
CUCUACGGCCAUGCCACCCUGAACAAGCCCGAACCCCUCUGAUCUCGGAAGCUAAGCAGGGUCGGGCCUGGUUAGUACUUGGAUGGGAGACCACCUAGGAAGACCAGGUGCUGUAGGUG